CAACUAUCCACAAAAGACCAAAAUGACACAGACAUUAACAACUAUAGGUCACCGUACGGCCUUCAACAAUGAGCAAAGCCCAUACCGCAUAGUCAGCUAUAAAAGGCCCCGAUAAGACAAUGUAAAACAAUUCAAACGAGAAAACUAACGGUCUUAUUUAUGUAAAAAAAAAGAACGAAAAACAAAUAUGUAACACAUAAACAAACGACAACCACUGAAUUACAGGCUCCUGACUUGGGACAGGCACAUACAUAAAUAAUGUGGCAGGGUUAAACAUGUUAGCGGGAUCCCAAC
rnacentral:lncRNA from 1 species